rnacentral:rRNA from 1 species
GGGUACUCGAGCGGCGAACGGGUGAGUAACACGUGAGCAACCUGCCCUAGGCUUUGGGAUAACCCCGGGAAACCGGGGCUAAUACCGGAUAGGACCUGGCGCCGCAUGGUGUUGGGUGGAAAGUUUUUCGGCCUGGGAUGGGCUCGCGGCCUAUCAGCUUGUUGGUGGGGUGAUGGCCUACCAAGGCGACGACGGGUAGCCGGCCUGAGAGGGCGACCGGCCACACUGGGACUGAGACACGGCCCAGACUCCUACGGGAGGCAGCAGUGGGGAAUAUUGCACAAUGGGCGGAAGCCUGAUGCAGCGACGCCGCGUGAGGGAUGACGGCCUUCGGGUUGUAAACCUCUUUCAGCAGGGACGAAGCGUAAGUGACGGUACCUGCAGAAGAAGCGCCGGCCAACUACGUGCCAGCAGCCGCGGUAAGACGUAGGGCGCGAGCGUUGUCCGGAUUUAUUGGGCGUAAAGAGCUCGUAGGCGGCUUGUCGCGUCGACUGUGAAAACCCGUGGCUCAACCGCGGGCCUGCAGUCGAUACGGGCAGGCUAGAGUUCGGUAGGGGAGACUGGAAUUCCUGGUGUAGCGGUGAAAUGCGCAGAUAUCAGGAGGAACACCGGUGGCGAAGGCGGGUCUCUGGGCCGAUACUGACGCUGAGGAGCGAAAGCGUGGGGAGCGAACAGGAUUAGAUACCCUGGUAGUCCACGCUGUAAACGUUGGGCGCUAGGUGUGGGGGGCCUCUCCGGUUCCCUGUGCCGCAGCUAACGCAUUAAGCGCCCCGCCUGGGGAGUACGGCCGCAAGGCUAAAACUCAAAGGAAUUGACGGGGGGCCCGCACAAGCGGCCGGAGCAUGCGGGAU